CGUAUUUUUUGUGUAUUUAUGGUACUAAAGAUAUUUUUUUGGCUGAAUUGCUGUGGUCACUCCAACAUUCGACCAAAUGUGAAAUUGUACAAAAGUGAAAAAUUUACAUAUGUUGUUUUUUUUUUUGCAAACGACUGCACUACAUAAAGUCAAAUGGCUGGCAAAGAUGCCGAACUGGUCAAGUUGGCGUCCAAGUACUUCGCUGGAAAUCUUCUAUCGAGGACAGAAGAAGGCCUUCCUGACGCUGAUGCAAAGCUACAGGAGGCAUCCGAGUACAGCGGGAUCGGUCAUUUAUUGCUAAGUCCUGGAAUUAUUUUUAUAAUUGAUCCAAAAUAUAUAAAAAAUAAAAAUUUACAGCGAU